rnacentral:rRNA from 1 species
AGAGUUUGAUCCUGGCUCAGGAUGAACGCUGGCGGCGUGCUCAACACAUGCAAGUCGAACGAUGACCUCCAGCUUGCUGGGGUGAUUAGUGGCGAACGGGUGAGUAACACGUGAGUAACCUGCCCUUAACUCUGGGAUAAGCCUGGGAAACUGGGUCUAAUACCGGAUAUGACUCCUCAUCGCAUGGUGGGGGGUGGAAAGCUUUUUUGUGGUUUUGGAUGGACUCGCGGCCUAUCAGCUUGUUAGUGAGGUAAUGGCUCACCAAGGCGACGACGGGUAGCCGGCCUGAGAGGGUGACCGGCCACACUGGGACUGAGACACGGCCCAGACUCCUACGGGAGGCAGCAGUGGGGAAUAUUGCACAAUGGGCGAAAGCCUGAUGCAGCGACGCCGCGUGAGGGAUGACGGCCUUCGGGUUGUAAACCUCUUUCAGUAGGGAAGAAGCGUAAGUGACGGUACCUGCAGAAGAAGCGCCGGCUAACUACGUGCCAGCAGCCGCGGUAAUAC